AAGGAUAUAUUCGGAACAUCUUCGUAGAAGAUGAAGGAAUAACAUUGACAUAUUGUAUUCAGUUUUGAAUGUUUAUACAUCAUUCAACGUGAUGGGCCUAUAGCUCAGCUGGUUAGAGCGCACGCCUGAUAAGCGUGAGGUCGGUGGUUCGAGUCCACUUAGGCCCACCAUUUCAUUAUUGUACAUUGAAAACUAGAUAAGUAAGUAAAAUAUAGAUUUUACCAAGCAAAACCGAGUGAAUUAGAGUUUUAAAGCUUGAAUUCAUAAGAAAUAAUCGCUAGUGUUCGAAAGAACACUCACAAGAUUAAUAACGCGUUUCCUGUAGGAUGGAAACAUA
rnacentral:misc_RNA from 1 species